UUUUUUGGAAGUCCUUUCUUAACACUCGAACUCCUAUCAUAAUCUUCGUAUAUAGGGCAAAAAUGACUCACGAGUUACAGGCCCAUUUGGUGCUUGAAUAAGUUAUUCAAUGAUAAAUUGCGCGGUACGUGCUAGUGUGAUUGCAAUCUAGGGCUGCGUUUGGUUGGAGAAUUUAAUUUUGGAGAACAACUUUUGUUAUUUUCGAGAACAUGAGAUAUUCCGGUACAAGAUAGAACAAUUAUAAAUUUGUGUUUUGAUGCAUUCGAGAAUAUUCUAGAGGAUAUCCUUAAUAGCGUUUGGAUAAAAAGUCUAGAACAACGUCUAAAUAUAUUUUUAAAAAUAAAAUAAUUAAUUUAUGUUAGUAUAUUUUAUAUAAAAUUAUUUAUAAAAUUAUUUCAUAGAGUAAUUUAUAAUAUAAUAUUUUAUGUAAGAAUCUAAUUUAAAAUAAUAUAUUUUAUUUUAUUAUAUAUAAUAAUUUAUUUUAUGUAAUCAUUUAUUUUAUAUAAUUUAUUCAUAAUAUAUUAAUGAAUAAAGCAUAAUACUAACAAUAUCCCUAUAUUUUUAAUUAAUAAUUAGUAUAAAUUUCAAUACAAAUAAAAAAAUAUAUAAUUAAAUAUUAAAGUAUAAAUGAUAAAGUUUAAUAAAAUAAAAAAUAUAUCAAAUUUAAUUAAUUUAUAUUAUAUAAUAAAAUUUAAGUAUAAAUAUAUUAUCAUAAAAAUUUAAGUAUGAAUUUCAAUACAUAUUAAAAAAUAUAUAUAUAUAAUAUAUGAAAAAAUGAUUUUAUGUAUAUAAUACUUAAUAUAAAAUAAAAUAAUUAAAUAUUAAUAUAUAAAUGAUAAAACUUAAUAAGAUAAAAAAUAUAUCAAAUUUAAUUAAUUUAUAUAAUAUAAUAAAAUUUAAGUAUAAAUAUAUUGUCAUAAAAAUAAUAUUUAUAUUAAUAUAUGUAUUAUUUAUUAAAUUUGAGCAUUUAUUUAAUUUAUUUGAAAUUAAUUAAAAUAAAGUAUAAAAAAAAUAAAAUGGCAUAAAAAGAAAAAAAAAAACAAGUUCCGGCUUGUUCUCCAUUUCAUGGAGAACAAUCUUAACGGGUUGUUCCCGGAACAACCCGUUAAGCCCGGAACAACCGGGUUGUUCCAUUUUGCAUUGCGUUUGGGAGGACAACGAGAGAUAUCCCGCCUUGUUCUGGGAUAUACUUCCAACCAAACGCAGCCUAGGAGUUCACUCUUGUGGGAUUUUUCGAGAUGAUUAAUUUCACCUGCACGAGUAAUUCUGUGUCCACAUACGCAUUUCACCAAACAUUUAUGAUGGCUAGUACGGUUCACGACAAAAGUGAUUUAAUUUACGGUCAGAAUGAUAAUUAUGAUGAGAAAAAGAACUAAUUAAUUAGUAAGAAACUGGCCCUUUAGUUUAAGUAAAAGAUUGUAAAACUAGUAAGUGGGCAAAACAUUUCACAUUCAAAAUAUAACUUUGAGGCUAUAAAUAAUUUGUCGUCGUAGACAUCUGCGUACAUUCAUGUAUCAAUUGCUGCAAUGCUCUUGAGUGAACAAAAGAGAUUGGAUGAGAUGCUAAGGCAUCAAAAUAUGUUCAAAUGGAUCUAAAAUUCCAUUUUCUUGCACAAUUGUACACUUAUUAGAGACCUAUAUUCAAGAUUGAGGAGUGAUUAGAAGUUUGCCUUGUUUUGGCUUAGUGCAACUGUGUAUGGAUUAAAAAUAAAAUAAAAAAAAAAUUCAAGCCUUUUCUUUUUUUGCCCCGCCCCCUCUAAUUUACAUUUCACAUAGAAGGAUAGUGUGGUGCUCUGUUUUUCUACAAAGAAGGUGAUAUUG
rnacentral:lncRNA from 1 species